rnacentral:lncRNA from 1 species
CGUGGUCAUUUUUCCUCACCCAAAAAUCCGUCUAUAACAUAGAAUUUCUGCCCCAAGAAGUCAAAAUUGUUUAUUUUCACUUUUUCUCUCAAAAUAAAAAACCCAACUCCUCCCCCAAAGAUUCAAGAACUCAUUCCCCAAAGAUCAAUAAGUCAAGCCUUUAAGUUCAAGAUUUCCAAGAAACGGAUCAAGAUCUAAGUUUCAUCCUUCAACCUAAGUAAUCUAAGGUAUGUGGGGUUUUCCUAAAACUACUUGGGCAUAAGAAAAUUGUUCAACAACAUUUAAAUAUGGUGAAAUCAUGAAUUUCGAAGGGGUUUUAGAAUUUAUAUUACAAUGUUGCUUUAUGAAUGUUUUAAUGGCACUGUUGUUUUGGCCUGGAGCCCUUUUCCCCCAAUUGAAUUGUACUUGUAUAUAUAUGUAUGUAUGAAAAUUGGGUUUGAAUAUUUAAUUGAGAGCAUGAAUCAUAUAGAAUUCCUCUUUUAUUAUGAUUUUUCCCAUUUUUCAUAUGAUAUGGAUUGUUUCGAAUGCAUCUUGAAAAACAUGGUAUGAAUAUCUUGAUUAAUGUUAUGACUUGAAUAUGAUUUUGAAUUCAAAAGAGAGGGUUGUUCAUGUUGAUAAAUAUUGAAUAUAUAUAUAUAUAAUAAAAGAGUUGCAUGGUUUGUCAAAAAAAAAUACAUGACCACCACAUGUUUGAUGAAAGAAUGAGAAUCUUUGCAUAGUUUUGACUUGUGUAUCAGAACAUGAAAUCUCUUAUACUAUUUGCAUGUUUGGGUGAUCUGAAUUGCGUUUUAAUGAAAGAAUUAUGCAUGAUAUAUUAUGGCUCAGAAAUAUAACUUGCAAGUCUUGGUGUGACGACACCAACUCAGAUAAUGCCAUGGUAAUUCAAAACAGAAUAGAAUGCAUGCUUGCAAUCAGAUUUUCUGAUUUUGAAACUUAGAAUGAUGCAUGUUUAGAAAUGGUUAAAAAUGGGCAUAAAGAGAUGUUAGGUGGUUCCCUGAAGAAGGCAUGAGUUCAGACUACUCAUUGUCAAAAAUCGUCUUUUGCUGAUACGGGUUAUUUAAUCCUAAAGAGGGAUUUUACGCUGGCCUAAAGCCCUGUGGUGUAUCAGACUCAGACACUCCAACCCUUGCGGUAAACUUGGAUUGGGGGCUUCCCCGCCGAGUCAAUGGCGGAUUUCAUAUAGCCCGUGAAAUAUCAGACUUGUAGGGGAGUGCCACCUAACUCAGAAGUAAUACAAAGAUCAGAAACUGCAUUGACAAGAAUAUUUUAUGAUUAUCGAAGUGCCCAUGUGUUUUGAACCAUAUCCUGCAUGAUGUUUUACGACCUGUUCUCAACUAUUUUAUUUAUAUAAAAGCAUUAUUUUGGAUUGCUCUGCGUACCAGUACAUCUGUAUUGACCCCCUAUAUUUUAGGAUUCUGAGACACAAUCUUGGGGUCCCGUUAAGCAUUAGAUUGACUUGUCAUAAGUUGCAGUUGAUGAGCCUUCUCUAAUUCGGAAGGCCGAAUUUUCAGAUUUCAUUGUUUCUUUCUGUUAUGGUCUACUGGGGGCCUUGUCCCAGUUUUGUUUCAGCCUUAAGAUGGUUAUUGUAAUGUUAGAGAUUUCGCUGACGGUUGUCACAUGUUUAGAAUAUUCAGAAUUUCUCUUUUUAAAUUGUUUAAGUUUAUGAGAUUGACCAUGGUUCCGUCUUGUAUUUUUUUCGUAAAUUUUCUUAUAUUAUAUGAAUAUUGUGCAUGAUUACCAAAUUUAGAAGAGCACUCGGGCCUUCAUCUCGAGAUGCUCGUUACGGCUAAAGCCUCAUCUCGGAUCGUGACAAACUUGGUAUCAAAGCACGAUUCAUAGUCCCAGGGUGUCUGCGAAAUCGUGUCUAAUAGAGUCUUGCUUAUAGGUGUGUUGUGCAGCCCACUUAUAAUCCGGAGGUUAUCAGGCAUUUAGGAGUUGUUUCCCAUUCUUUCAUACUCUAGUUCGUGCUAUAGAGUCGUCCAUAAGAAUGUUAUCCAAGUUUAUUCCUUGUUCUAAUUUCAUGGGUCAUGCCUCAUUGUCGAGGCGAUACAAUUCUAAGAGUCUAGCUCUCCCAGUGAUGUGGUUCUCUCUGAUUGAGUUGUCCAUAAAGUUAUGGAUUUUGCAUAAGGAUUUGAGAGGAGUCUAUGAGUGCUUUAAAGUGUGCUUAUUUAAGCAUAUACCCCUAUCUGCAUCAGUCGUGCGGUUGAUCCUGUGGUAUGGAGGGUAUCCAGUCUCUUUUAAUCAAAUUCUUAUUGGGGAUCUGAUGUAUAAGAGUAAUGAUGUAUAGUAGAAUGUUGGAACUGUAUUUCCUCCCGAGUAGUAGCGUAUGUUAAAGUGUCAUGGCCUAUUGGUAAUGAGAUGGUCUAGAAGUUGGUGACAUGUAGUCACGAAGUUAGCAGUCGGUAAGGGUGACAUUUGCGUAAAUAAAUAGUUUUAGUUGAAUAAUCAUGGAUUGAAGAGUGGGUUGCUAUUGUAUGGUGAUAGACUAAUGUGGUAUAAUGAUAGACUAAUGUGCGGCAAUAAUUGUAGAUUGUAUGGUAGCCUGUGAAGGAAGAUACAGGAUAUGAUUAUUAUUUAUUCAGAAUAGGGAAGGAUCACAGAAUAGAUGGUCAUUGUGGUUGUAAAAAUUAUCUAUAGACUGUGAAUGGAAAGAGGUAGAUUAGUUAAUAAGCUGUAAGUAGAGACUCAUUAGUAUUUAUUGAAUUUUGAAGAUCAUUGUGAUGUACGAUUAGGUAAGUAUGUAUGAUGUGAGAAAUUGGAAUAUGUUGAUAAGAUUGAAAUGAGUUAUAUUGCAAGAUUAAGAUCGACUAAUUCAAUAAUAUGACUUUACCCCCUUUGAUGAUCUUUUUCUUUAAGUAGUAGUAAACUAGUACUAUGUGAGAAUAUAGGUAGUGGAAUUUAAGGUAUAGUAGUAAUGUCAUGGAGGGGAUGUGAUGGUAGGUAGUAGCUAGGCAAAAUGUAGUAUUUUGGGUUGGUUUACCAAUUUGAUGGACAAGUAUAACAUGUGGCAUACUUCGUUGGUGGUACAUGAUUGAUGCAAAACUAUAGACUUGAACUUGAGGUGUGAAGAGUGGUGACAAGAAUAAUAGCUUAAGAUUAAUGAUGCAUGUUUCAUGGAGUAAUUAGAAGGCUUGAUGUAAUGUGCGAAAUGACCUAGGUUGAUGAUUUAUAAAAGUUUAAGUGGUAAUUGUGAGGUAUAUCUGUACAUGAGAACUAGUGUUAAAACAAUGGAUUGUGGUUGAAUCAUUAAGUGGAUAAGAACGCGAGUAUAUAUGAAUAAGUUGAACCCAAGAUAGCAUGUUGUUAGAUAAGAUUGUAUGGUAUAAGUGUCAUGUGUACCCAACUUAUUUUUUUGAAUUUUGUAGUAUGGAGAAGUCCGAAAAGUUAUUGUAUGGUGCUCUUUAGAGUUAAAUUGAGGAAAAAUAGGUAGGCAAUAUGCACCCUUGGUAUAGUUUUACAGAUUUUGUGCAGUUGUAGGUUAUGUGAUUAGAGGUGUAGUAAUAGUAUUCUAAGGGAGUGAAGAUGGAGCAUUAAAUAUUUAGAAGUGUGGGUGUCUAUGCCCAUGAAACUGUUAGUCGUAAGUUGAUGACUUUGGGAGUUAGAAGAAAUUGCGAUUAGUGUCCCUGAAAUGGGAUGUCCUACAAGGUAAUUUAGUGUCUUUGUAUUAGAAACUAAUGAGAGGAGUUUGUGCUCAUGUAUAUGCUGAUACCCUAUUUGUGAUAAAGAGUGUGGAUGUGUGCGCUCUUGAGAGUGGGAGUUGUAGAGUAAUGGCUAUAGAGGCUAGCGGAUGUUAAGAGUAGCAUUUAUAGAAAAGCAAGGCCUUCAGAGUAUAGCUCUUUAGGGAGAGUUUAGAGUUUAAGUGUAUGGUGAUAUGUAUUUUAUGUUGAGAGUUGUGGCUAUAGAUUUUGAUGUGGGGAUAUGUCUGUAAGUCUAGGAUUAUGACUUUGAUCUAAGGGGGAGAUUGGGAAUUAAGUUAGUUCUCAAAAUUUUUCUCAAUUCGGCAAAUUACGGGGAAAAGUCAUGAUAAAUCUAUUCCUACUCAAGCAUACUCCUCCUACUUCCAUUUCAGAGAUUAUUCUGCUAAUGUCCUACGUCAUGUGUUCAAGUCAUUCCUAUGUCUAUGGUUCGAGUUCUCUAUGGACUAAUGCUUAUAAUCUGAACUCCAAACUAAAAGCAAUUAUGUCUCUCAAUAAUCCAGUUUUGCAUGUAUUCAAGCCAUAUGUUAUGUUGCUCAUGAUCCAAAUCUAUGUUUCUCAGCAUGAUUGGUCCUAAGAAAAUAUGUUUCUAUGUGUCAUCGAUUCAUCCUAUGUCGGGUUUAGCCAAAGUGAUAAAGUUUAUGCAAACUCAUGACAAAUCUCAGUUCCUUAAAUGAGGAGCAAUCUCUUCAAGCGGCAAUCUCUGUCUUAGUUGUAAUGUAAUACCCCGUAGCAUUCUUGACUCAAUACCACUCUUGGUUGCAUGUAUAGAGAGCUGAAAUUUUUCUAAGUAUUAGAAGACUUAGCCAUAUUUUGAGCUCUUAGCCUUCAUGAUUUUCAAAUUGAUCUUUCCGACCCCGAUACGUAGAUUUUUGAGUUGAUUCGUGUUCAGGAGCGUAAAGGGGUUAUUCCGAGAAAGGUUUGGAUUCUUCGGACCACGUUUUAGAUGCGUUGAGUGAGCAAACCAGUGGCUCGAUGCGAUAUUGAUGCGCCACAUCGGUAAUUGCAUUGGCCAAACUAAUGUCUCAACGUGAUCUUGACUCGUCGCAUAGCUAAACGCAUCGGGUGCCCAGUUUGUCUUACUGAUUUUUGAGUCCAGAAAGGUAAUUCAGUCUCUUUCCCUCGUCUUAUCUUGAUAUGUGCACCAAUGUUUCUCACUGUGCUCUAUCCUAAGAAUUUAUGUAGUAUUGUGUCUUCCGAAUGACUCUUUACUUAUGAUCCAGAGACUUGUUAUAUGGAGCACUUCGUGUUUAUUCUAUCGUAUCUUCAUUUCAUGUCCCUUCUUGAGUAGUGCAAUAGGUAUAAGUUAUGGUUUAAUAGUGUUACUUCCAUUCAGGACAUUUAUGCUCGGGCCCCUUAAUGACCCUCUGUAUAAUAGUAUGAUGGUGGAUGUGGAAACGUGGUGAUGUGUUAGAUAGGGGAGUAGAUGUUCUUGAAGGUGAAAAAAAAUUGAUGUGAAUUCUCGAGCUAAGGCUAUAAGUGAAAGGGAAAUGAAGGAUAUGAACUUUUGUUGUGUGAAAUAGCUAAGAAGGGGGUGGACUUUUAUUAUGAGAAAUAGUUGGGAAUGAGAUAUUAGCGAAAAUCUUAGUAAAUGUAAUUGAAUUUGCCGGUCUUAGUGGGGGAAAUCCAUGAAGUGGGUGUAGUAAUGAUAGGCUUGAAUGUUGUGAUUGUUGAAAACUCAACCCAUGUACUAUGUGGUUAGUAUUCCUUGAAUUAAAACCCGAGAGUGUUUGACGAUAGUGAUAAGGUGAGGCAAUGUUCUUAACGGGAUGUAAAGUAUAGGGUCCUAUAGUUUAAGUUAUCACCUUUUAACUCCGAGUUAGGCUUCAACAUAGUAGUACUAAGUAGUAGGACUCUAAUUCUUGUAGCUAGGUGGGUGAUUGGAGAAUUGUAAGUUGGCGAGAGUGAAGUAUGCUAUUUAUUAUUUGGGGUGUAGGCGAUUAGUGCCUCUAAGUUUAAGUCUAUUCGGUGGUACUUUGUAAGGUAGAGAAUGUUUCUUAUCCUAUCUUCCGCGAAAUUUUGUUUCAUUAUUAGUACCAAUAUCAUCAAUCAAUCUAUGAUCAUCAAAUAAACCCCUGCCUUGUGUUAUGAUGAUUAUGAUUCAUAUAACUCAUGUGCAAGAUCAUCCCUACGUAAAGUCUCAUUAUCCCAUGUUUCGUGCUUUCACGUUUCACUCGGGGUUACCAUGAAACUCAUUUGAUGCCUUUUUAUGUUAGGUUGAGGAAAAUUAUUCAAUGCGAGAUUACGUUCUUUAUUCUACACUUUUAGAUCCUAAAAAGUCCCUACCUAUCAUUCGGGGACGAAUGAUCCCAAAGGGGAGAUAAUGUAACGCCCCGCAUUUUUGAGCUAGAAAUUAAAUCGUCGUUCUAGGUGUGUAAGCUUUAAUUCCAUGGUUUAUGUUUAGACUCAUGUGUCAUGAACUCUCGCCUAGUAUAUGAAGUGAUUAUGAGGUGAACAAUGUUCAUAGAAAUGGCCUAAAGCAAAGUUAAGCUAAGAAUCUCUCAUUCAUCCAAAAUUGGAUAUAAGACUCUACAAGGGUCUAUUUGGAACAUGUAUAACUUUUGAUACACAUAGAAUUUUUCAGCUCAAGACCCACCAAAUUGUAGAUAAUUUAAGUAGCUUUCCAACGAUAUCAAUUUCGCCAAAAUUCGAUAACCACGCGAAAUGUUAUGUCAUUUUCUGUGUGAGGCAAUAAGUUGAUGCGAUCAUGACGCAUCGCGUCGAGAUCAUGUCGACACGAAACCAGACGCGAAUCUAAUGCUAUUUUACGCAUUAUUUCAGUUUCUAAUGGGUCUAGAGGCACCGUGGUCAUUUCUCCUCACCCAAAAAUCCGUCUAUAACAUAGAAUUUCUGCCCCAAGAAUCCAAAAUUGCUUAUUUUUACUUUUCCUCUCAAAAUCAAAAACCCUAACUCCUCCCCCAAAGAUUCAAGAACUCAUUCCCCAAAGAUCAAGAAGUCAAGCCUUUAAGUUCAAGAUGUCCAAGAAACGGAUCAAGAUCUAGGUUUCAUCCUUCAACCUAAGUAAUCUAAGGUACGUGGGAUUUUCCUAAAACUACUUGGGCAUAAGAAAAUUGUUCAACAACAUUUAAAUAUGGUGAAAUCAUGAAUUUAGAAGGAGUUUUAGAAUUUAUAUUACAAUGUUGCUUUAUGAAUGUUUUAAUGGCACUAUUGUUUUGGCCUUGAGGCCUUUUCUCCAAAUUGAAUUGUACUCGUAUAUAUAUGUAUGUAUGAAAAUUGGGUUUGAAUAUUUAAUUGAGAGUAUGAAUCAUAUAGAAUCCCUCUCUUGUUAUGAUUUUUCCCAUUUUUCAUAUGAUAUGGAUUGUUUUGAAUGAAUCUUGAAAAGUAUGAUACGAAUGUCUUGAUUAAUGUUAUAACUUAAAUAUGAUUUUGAAUUCAAAAGAGAGGGUUGUUCAUGUUGAUAAAUGUUGAAUAUAUAUAUAAUGAAAGAGUUGCAUGGUUUGUCAAAAAAAAAUACAUGACCACCACAUGUUUGAUGAAAGAAUUAGAAUCUUUGCAUAGUUGUGACUUCUGUAUCAGAACAUGAAAUCUCCUAUACUAUUUGCAUGUUUGGGUGGUCUGAAUUGCAUUUUAAUGAAAGAAUCAAGCAUGAUACAUUAUGGGUCAUAAAUAUGACUUGCAAGUCUUGGUGUGACGACACCAAUUCAGAUAAUUCAAAACAGAACAGAAUGCAUGUUUGCAAUCAGAUUUUCAAAUGUUGAAACUUAGAAUGAUGCAUGUUUAGAAAUGGUUAAAAAUGGGCAUAAAGAGAUGUUAGGUGGUUCCCCGAAGUAGGCACAAGUUCAAACUACUCAUUGCCAAAAACCAUGGUUUGCCAAUACAGGUUAUUUAAUCCCUUAGAGGAAUUUUACGCUAGCCUAGAGCUCUGUGGCGUAUCAGACUCAGACACUCCAAUCCUUGCGGCAAACUUAGGUUGGGGGCUUCCCCGCCGAGUCAAUGGCGGGAUUCCAUAUAGCCCGUGGAAUAUCAGACUUGUAGGGGAGUACCACCUAACUCAGAAGUAAUACAAAGAUCAGAAAUUGCAUUGACAAGAAUGUUUUAUGAUUAUCUAAGAAGUGCCCAUAUGUUUUGAACCAUAUCCUGCAUGAUAUUUUACGAUCUGCUCUCAACUAUUUUAUUUAUAUAAAAGCAUUAUUUUAGAUUGCUCUGCGUACCAGUACAUCUGUAUUGACCCCCUAUAUUUCAGAAUUCUGAAACACAGUCCUGGGGUCCCGUUAAGCAGUAGAUUGACUUGUCAGAAGUUGCAGUUGGUGAGCCUUCUCUAAUCCGGAAGUCCGAAUUUUCAGAUUUCAUUGUUUCUUUCUUUUAUGGCUACUGGGGGACUUGUCCCAAUUUUGUUUCAGACUUAAGAUGGUUAUUGUUAUGUUAGAGAUUUCGCAGACGGUUGUCACAUGUUUAGAAUAUUCAGAAUUUUACUUUUUAAAUUGUUCAAGUUUAUGAGAUUGACCAUGGUUCCGUCUUGUAUUAUUUUUCGCAAAUUUUCUUAUAUUAUAUGAAUAUUGUGCAUGGUUACCGAAUUUAGAAGAGCGCCCGGGCCUUCAUGGCUCAAGAUGCUCGUUACGGCUAAGUCCCCGGCUUGGAUCGUGACACAUAGUUAGUGCCUAGAGGUAAAUAAUCUCAAUAAAGAAUAUACUGUAAUUUUUUAUGUCUGAAAAACUUGUUAUAAAAUGUUACUAUAAAAUAAAGAUAAAGUAAGAGAAUUAAAAUAAGAAAAAUUAUAGAGAGAAUUCUUCUUAUUUUUAUUAUAUACAAUAGGUUACAUAGAAGAUCCUAUUUGUAGGAGAAGAUACAUCGUUACAUAAUUUGUUACAAUAAAUUAAAACUUGUUAUGGAAAUUCAAAAUACGUUAUGAUCACCAUAAGAUUUGUUGUCCUCAUUCAAACUUGUUAUGACCAUAAGACUUAUUGUCCUCAUCCAAAAUUUUUUAUGGACAUUCACUCACUAAAAAAAAGUAGAUUCAUAACAUUUUUCUUGGAUGUCUAUUAACUGAUAAUAUGC